rnacentral:rRNA from 1 species
UACGUAGGGUGCGAGCGUUGUCCGGAAUUAUUGGGCGUAAAGGGCUCGUAGGCGGUCUGUUGCGUCGGGAGUGAAAACUCAGGGCUUAACCCUGAGCCUGCUUCCGAUACGGGCAGACUAGAGGUAUGCAGGGGAGAACGGAAUUCCUGGUGUAGCGGUGAAAUGCGCAGAGAUCGGGAAGAACAUCAGUGGCGAAGGCGGCCUGCUGGGCUGUUGCUGACGCUGAGGCGCGACAGCGUGGGGAGCAAACAGG